rnacentral:rRNA from 1 species
AUUGAACGCUGGCGGCAGGCCUAACACAUGCAAGUCGAACGAGUGGCGGACGGGUGAGUAAUGACUGGGCAACUUCCUGAUGGAGGGGGUUCACUACUGGAAACGGUAGCCACUUCCGCAUUCCAUCGCCUGUGUCGAGAUGGGAUUAGCUAGUAGGGGGGGUAAAGGCUCACCUAGGCGACGAUCCCUAGCUGGUCUGAGAGGAUGACCAGCCACACUGGAACUGAGACACGGUCCAGACUCCUACGGGAGGCAGCAGUGGGGAAUAUUGCACAAUGGGCGCAAGCCUGAUGCAGCCAUGCCGCGUGUAUGAAGAAGGCCUUCGGGUUGUAAAGUACUUUCAGCGGGGAGGCGUUACCCGCAGAAGAAGCACCGGCUAACUCCGUGCCAGCCGCCGCGGUAAUUC